rnacentral:snoRNA from 1 species
CCUGUCACUAGAGGCUAUUGCAGGUUGGGUCUUGGGCUUUGUGUCACAUGUGUAUUCAUCAGUAGGGGCAGAGAAGAGAGAGGCUGUCUAUGCUCCAUAUUCUGAACUAGGAACAUCUGAAUGAUGAGUAGCCAAACAUU